ACGGGAGGCAGCAGUAGGGAAUCUUCGGCAAUGGGGGCAACCCUGACCGAGCAACGCCGCGUGAGUGAAGAAGGUUUUCGGAUCGUAAAGCUCUGUUGUAAGAGAAGAACGUGUGUGAGAGUGGAAAGUUCACACAGUGACGGUAACUUACCAGAAAGGGACGGCUAACUACGUGCCAGCAGCCGCGGUAAUACGUAGGUCCCGAGCGUUGUCCGGAUUUAUUGGGCGUAAAGCGAGCGCAGGCGGUUUAAUAAGUCUGAAGUUAAAGGCAGUGGCUUAACCAUUGUUCGCUUUGGAAACUGUUAAACUUGAGUGCAGAAGGGGAGAGUGGAAUUCCAUGUGUAGCGGUGAAAUGCGUAGAUAUAUGGAGGAACACCGGUGGCGAAAGCGGCUCUCUGGUCUGUAACUGACGCUGAGGCUCGAAAGCGUGGGGAGCAAACAGGAUUAGAUACCCUGGUA
rnacentral:rRNA from 2 species